rnacentral:rRNA from 1 species
AUAGGAAGAUAAAAGGCAUCUUGUAUCUUUUAAAAGACCUAGUUAAUAGGUAUGCUUUAGGAGGGGCUUGCGCCAUAUUAGUUAGUUGGUAGGGUAAUGGCCUACCAAGACGAUGAUGUGUAGCUGGACUGAGAGGUUGAACAGCCACAUUGGGACUGAGACACGGCCCAAACUCCUACGGGAGGCAGCAGUAGGGAAUUUUCGGCAAUGGAGGAAACUCUGACCGAGCAACGCCGCGUGAAUGACGAAGUACUUCGGUAUGUAAAGUUCUUUUAUCGAGGAAGAAAAGCAAAUGGCGAACCAUUUGUUUGCCGGUACUUGAUGAAUAAGCCCCGGCUAAUUAUGUGCCAGCAGCCGCGGUAAGACAUAAGGGGCAAGUGUUAUCCGGAAUUAUUGGGCGUAAAGGGUGCGUAGGCGGUCUAGUAAGUCAGUGGUGUAAUGGCAACGCUUAACGUUGUCCGGCUAUUGAAACUGCUAAACUUGAGUUAGAUAGAGGCGAGUGGAAUUCCAUGUGUAGCGGUAAAAUGCGUAAAUAUAUGGAGGAACACCAGAGGCGUAGGCGGCUCGCUGGGUCUUAACUGACGCUGAGGCACGAAAGCGUGGGGAGCAAACAGGAUUAGAUACCCUGGUAGUCCACGCCGUAAACGAUGAGUACUAAGUGUCGGGUUAAACCGGUACUGAAGUUAACACAUUAAGUACUCCGCCUGAGUAGUACGUACGCAAGUAUGAAACUUAAAGGAAUUGACGGGACUCCGCACAAGCGGUGGAUCAUGUUGUUUAAUUCGAAGAUACCCGAAAAACCUUACCAGGUCUUGACAUGUUUUUGCAAAAUGAUAGUAAUAUCGUGGAGGUUACCAGAAACACAGGUGGUGCAUGGUUGUCGUCAGCUCGUGUCGUGAGAUGUUAGGUUAAGUCCUAAAACGAGCGAAACCCUUAUCGUUAGUUGCCAGCACGUUAUGGUGGGGACUUUAACGAGACUGCCAAUGAUAAAUUGGAGGAAGGUGAGGAUCACGUCAAAUCAGCAUGCCCCUUAUGACCUGGGCUACAAACGUGAUACAAUGGCUGUUACAAAGGGUAGCUGAAACGCAAGUUCUUGGCCAAUCCCCAAAAACAGUCCCAGUCCGGAUUGAAGUCUGCAACUCGACUUCAUGAAGUUGGAAUCGCUAGUAAUCGCGAAUCAGCAUGUCGCGGUGAAUACGUUCU